CCCUUAGAUGUUCUGGGCUGCACGCGUGCUACACUGAUAUUGCCAAUAUGUCAUUCUUAUCCGAAAUGGAUUGGGUAAUCAAGUAAUGAAAUUUCAUGCUUGGAAUCGGUAAUUGCAAUUUUAUCGUGAACGAGGAAUUCCUAGUAAGCACUAGUCAUCAGCUAAUGUUGAUUAUGUCCCUGCCCUUUGUACACACCGCCCGUCGCUCCUACCGAUUGAGUGGUCCGGUGAGGCUUUGGGAUCUGAGCGGAAAGAGCGUUUCGCUGUUUCUGCUCGGAAAACUCAGUCGAACCUUAUCAUUUAGAGGAAGGAGAAGUCGUAACA
rnacentral:rRNA from 1 species